GAUGAACGCUGGCGGCGUGCCUAAUACAUGCAAGUCGAGCGAACGGACGAUAAGCUUGCUUCUCUGAUGUUAGCGGCGGACGGGUGAGUAACAUGUGUACAACCUACCUAUAAUACUGGUAUAACUUCGGGAAACCGGAGCUAACACCGGAGGAUAUUUUGAACCGCAUGGUUCAAUAGUGAAAGACGGUCUUGCGGUCACUUAUAGAUGGAUCCGCGCUGCAUUAGCUAGUUGUUAAGUUAACGGCUUACCAAGGCAACGAUGCAUAGCCGACCUGAGAGGGUGAUAGGCCACACUGGAACUGAGACACGGUCCUGACUCCUGCGGGAGGCAGCAGUAGCGAAUCUUCCGCAGUGGGCGAAAGCCUGACGGAGCAACGCGGAGCGAGUGAUAGCGGUCUUCGGAUCGUAAAAAUCUGUUACUAGGGAAGAACAGAUGUGUACGUAACUGUGCACAGCUUGACGGUAACUAAUCAGAAAGCAACGGCUAACUACGUG
rnacentral:rRNA from 1 species